rnacentral:rRNA from 1 species
AACGUAGGAGAGAAACGUUAUCCGGAGUUACUGGGCGUAAAGGGCGUGUAGGUGGUUUCGUAAGUCUGGCGUGAAAUAUCUCGGCUUAACCGAGGCAGGUCGUCGGAUACUGCGGAACUAGAGGACGGUAGAGGCGUGUGGAAUUCCGGGUGUAGUGGUGAAAUGCGUAGAGAUCCGGAGGAACACCAGUGGCGAAGGCGACACGCUGGGCCGUACCUGACACUGAUGCGCGACAGCAUGGGGAGCAAACAGG